GUCAGGAUGGCCGAGCGGUCUAAGGCGCUGCGUUCAGGUCGCAGUCUCCAAUGGAGGCAUGGGUUCAAAUCCCACUUCUGACA
rnacentral:tRNA from 1 species